rnacentral:rRNA from 1 species
GUAAUACGGAGGGUCCGAGCGUUAUCCGGAAUCAUUGGGUUUAAAGGGUCCGCAGGCGGGCAAUUAAGUCAGGGGUGAAAGGCUGUGGCUCAACCAUAGCAUUGCCUUUGAUACUGGUUGUCUUGAGUUAUAGUGAAGUGGCCGGAAUAUGUAGUGUAGCGGUGAAAUGCAUAGAUAUUACAUAGAACACCGAUCGCGAAG